rnacentral:rRNA from 1 species
ACUCCUACGGGAGGCAGCAGUGGGGAAUAUUGCACAAUGGGCGCAAGCCUGAUGCAGCCAUGCCGCGUGUAUGAAGAAGGCCUUCGGGUUGUAAAGUACUUUCAGCGGGGAGGAAGGUGCUGAGGUU